UAAAAAAGGCCGGGAUAGCUCAGUUGGUAGAGCAGAGGACUGAAAAUCCUCGUGUCCCGU
rnacentral:tRNA from 1 species